rnacentral:pre_miRNA from 1 species
CAUGCACGGGUGGGGUCCCUCGGCCUGGUCUGCACCCUCUUGUAAUCCAGGUCCCCUCGGGGGAUGUCGGAAAACCGGUUUCAGCCUGAUCCCUGCAGGCCAGGCCGAGGGACCCCACUGGUGCACA